GCUGGGUGUGGUGGCUCACGCCUGUAAUCCUAUCAGUUUGGGAAGCCAAGGAGGGAAUAUUGCUUGAACCCAGGAGUUUUAAGACCAGCCUGGGCAACAUAGCAAGACCCCUGUCUCUACAAACAAAAAUUAGCUGGGCUUGCUGGUGCAGGCCUGUAGCCCCAGCUACUCAGGAGGCUGAGGUGUGAGAAUCACUUGAGCCCAGGAGUUUGAGGUAGCAGUGAGCCAUGAUAGCACUACUGUAGUCUGGCCUGAGUGACAGAGCAAGACCAUUUUAUU
rnacentral:sRNA from 1 species